CCUGCCCCCGGUGCAGUCCCCCCAGCCUGUGGUCACCUGCCAACCUCCAAGUCCUCCAGGAAAAUAGCCACUAUGCAAAGAUUUGCAAGAUCUGGAUCAAAAUGGGAGACAGGCAGGACCACCUAAAAUGAGAUGUCUGGUUGCAGCCUUACAGCCCUGUUGACAUCAGAUACUUGGUCCUAUGCCAGUGUCCUGUGGAAGGACACUCAUACACGAGGGUCAGCAUACUACAAAGAGGUUUAUUUGGUUGAUCUGGAAGUGUGUGUGGGGAUCGGCAAGGAUGCAAGUUAUGAAAAAAUCGACAUCUCUGCAGCAUUCUGACAAAUGUUGUCCUAAAGAUUAAAGAAAGUGUUUUGAUCCAGCCAGGAUCCCCAGUGAUGAUCCCAGGCCACAAGUGAGUUGCACUUUUGCUGCAGAAGAUGAGACAGCCUCAGCUUCUGCCACAGAACAAGUUUGUCCUGUGAUGGAAGUGAGGGUGUCUUGCCAACAUCCUAUGUCCAUGAAUGCAGAGGAAGGAAGGAAAGCCACAGCCGUGAACAACAUCUCCAAGCCAGCUCUUCUGGAUACCAGAGCCUCUAGGAUCUUUAUGGACUUUGCAUUUGCCUCCCAGCACCAGAUUCCAACCAGGUCUACAUGCACCCCAGAUGUAGUGGAGUCAGUGGAUGGGUCUACCUUCCCCGCAGAACCCACCUGAGUAGCCCCAUUGGAAGUGUGGAUCAGAGGGCACAGGAAUUUCUCUGCUUCAACCUGAUCCAUUUUCCCUACUUUCCAAUUUUCUUGGGAACCCCAUGGCUUUCCCUCCACAACCCUGAUAUUCUGUGGGGGCAGAGGGAAUUCCAAUUUCUUUCUACUUUAGUGGAACUGGAUGUGUUUCCAUGGGAGACCCCAGAUCACAGCUCAGAUCAUGCAGGGAGCCAGAGCACCUGACACCAUCUGCAGGGGGAACAAGGCCCACACACCCAAAGAUUGCCAGUCUGCCAGCCAAUGGCUCAUCUAUCCCUGCAAAAUGCUGAGAUGUGGAUGAUGUAUUUGAUAAGAAGGGGUGAACCAGCUUCCUCCACAUCAUCCAUACGAUUGCCUCACUGAUAUCUUACCAGGGGUACAGAUUCUGUCUCUGAGCCUGAACUCAAGGCUCUAAAACAGUGGUCACCAACCAGUGGAUCUCGAUACACCAGUAGAUGUUGGAGCCUCUUGUGGUAGAUCUCGGAGCCUCUUGGAGUCGAUCCGAGGGUGGGGUAGGGGGGCUGAGUGCCUGCUUGCAUGCACAUGCACACCUCCCAGCCCAGCAGGUCAGUCCAUGGGGAAGGGAAGGGGCGGGGGCUAGAUCGAGGUCCCCGCAGUGAGGGACAGUGCUGCAGAGGCAGGAGCAGGGGUAAGAUAAGUGGGGCCCAGCCAGGUGGGACUUACCUGUUCAGGAGGUGUGCCCCCAAAUAAUUUUUUCUCGAUCUGCACCCCCCCCUUCCCUGGUCCUCCAUACUUUCAGGUGGCCCCAACAUCAGAGCAUUCAAAAAUACUUUGGCUCCUAUGAGGCUUGUGUUCACACCAAAACCCCAUGCACUAAGCCUCUAGGCCUCCUCCAACCACUACAGACGCCAAGCCAGCCCUGGAACAUGGUGUCUUGAUUCUAUUACCGAUCUGCCUCCCACCUUAGGGCAUUCAAGCAUCCUGCUGGCAGUGGACCUCCUCACCAGGAUAGCCCAUCCCCUGCCCUCAGACAGCCUGACUAUUCUUAGAAAAAAAUCUUUCAGUUUCAUGGUCUUCCCGGGGGCAUUGUCUCAGACUGCAGCCCACAAUUAGUUUCCCACUUCUGGAAAGAGCUCUCAAAACUUAAAAAUCAAACCUCUAGCCUCAUCUCCACAUCACCUGCAAACUGACAGGCAAACAGAAUGGAUCUGUCAGACACUCGAACAAUGUCUCCAACACUUUUUGAAUUAUCACCAGGACAAUUGGGUCUCCAUACUCCGCUUGAGGAAUUCACAUAUAAUAACUCUGAACAUGCCUCCACUGACCACUCUCCUUUUCUUUUGAAUUAUGGGGCACUUUUACAUGUGUUCCAGGAAUGUGGGAAGGGAGCUUUAAUUAGAGCAACUCCCAGAGUCACUCUAAUUAAAGCACCUCAGCAUCUUGUGUAUCAGUAUCCCUGUGCUUCAGAAUCAUGGUGGGAGCGCUUUAACUAAAGCUCGUCAAAUGGUCUUUAGUUAAAGCACCCCUGCUGCCAUUUUGAAGCACAGGGAUGGUGAUACACUACAUGCAGAGGCUGGCUGGAGUGCACAAAUUAGCAUGCUUCAGCAGACUUGAUUAAUUAAGUCUGCUCCGACAUGCUGGAAUUACAGUGUGUGGAAGCAGCCUCGUGGCACAUCUGCAGGCACCCAUGGUUUCCAUCCCCACAUUCAUCUCUUGUCCUUUCAGACCUUUUACACACCAGCUGCAGUCUGAAUGGUCAAUAAUUUUCACCAGGUCCAGCAAGAGCUAAAGAAACAUCUAGAACUUGCCAAGGAGACUUACAAGAGCUUCACAGAUAAGAAUCGUCAAGAAGCACUGGCCUUCUUAGUGGGGGAAAAGGUUUGGCAUCCACCUCUGCAUGUCCAUCUACCAAACUGAACUUCCAAUAUUUGGGCCCCUUCUCAAUCAUUGCAAAGAUUAAUUCAGUCACCUACAGAUUAAAGCUCUCCAGAACCAUGAAAAUGGUCUUUCAUGUCUCCCUGCUGAAGCCGCAUAAGGAGAACCCAUUUCCAAGCCGAGCACCAAGCCUUCACCAGCCAUGCAGAUCCAAGGUCAAGAUGAAUUUUUGUUCAACAGAUUCUAGACUCCAAGAUGAUUGGGGGAAAUUACACUGUCGAAUAGACCGUGAAGGGGACAGUCUGCAGGAACGUUCCUGGGAAUCAAUGAACAAUGUCCAUGUGCUGGACUUUGUAAAAGACUUCCAUCAGGCUCAUCCUAAUAAACUUGGAGAACAGGAUAGCA